rnacentral:misc_RNA from 2 species
CUGCGAGUUCGCGGGAGAGUAAGUUAUUGCCAGGGUUUUUAUUUUAUACUUUAAACAUUGAUUUUAUUUUUUAUGUUUUUAGAUGUUCAUGUUUUUGAAUGUUUUAUUUAAAUAAUAUAAAAAAUAAAAUAUAUAUUGACAUGGAUUAAACAAAGAUAUAUAUUAUUCUAUGUUGCAUAAACAAAUUGGCAAAAUAGAGAUGGAAGAUAAAAAUAUGGUCAAAGUAAUAAGAGUCUAUGGUGAAUGCCUAGGA